ACCAGACUCCUACGGGAGGCAGCAGUGGGGAAUCUUCCGCAAUGGGCGCAAGCCUGACGGAGCAAUGCCGCGUGAACGAAGAAGGUCUUCGGAUUGUAAAGUUCUGUCCUUAUCGAAGAGAGGGUAUAGAGUGAAAAAUGAUAUACUAGGACGGUAGAUGAGGAGGAAGCCCCGGCUAACUACGUGCCAGCAGCCGCGGUAAUACGUAGGGGGCAAGCGUUAUCCGGAUUUACUGGGUGUAAAGGGAGCGUAGACGGCAGUGCAAGUCUGAAGUGAAAGGCGGGGGCCCAACCCCCGGACUGCUUUGGAAACUGUGCUGCUGGAGUGCAGGAGAGGUAAGUGGAAUUCCUAGUGUAGCGGUGAAAUGCGUAGAUAUUAGGAGGAACACCAGUGGCGAAGGCGGCUUACUGGACUGUAACUGACGUUGAGGCUCGAAGGCGUGGGGAGCAAACAGGAUUAGAUACCCUAGUA
rnacentral:rRNA from 1 species